UAAACACUCAGCAAAGGAUUAUUAUUAGGAGGCUCGUCCUCACCCAAAACAGUAAGAGAAACUCACUGUUGCUUCUUUCUACUUCUUCCUCUUGACCUCCUUCCUGUGCUUGGGUUCAACUGGUUUUCUCUUUAGUCCCCUGCCAUUCUCAUUUGUUUCCUGGUGUCUUUGCUUAGAAUUAACCUGCAGUUUAGCUGAGUCCCUCUUGUUCUGUGAGGCUUUCCUUGACAGCUGACCCAGACUUGAUGGCCGCUGCCUGCUGUGUUGGGUUCAGGGAUGUUGCAAGUUCUUGGGUGACGGCAGCCUCAUCAGCCUCUAGGUCUCCCCUCAGUGCCUAGGGCAUUGUAGGGGGAUGCCCCACAGACUCACGCUGAGUUGGAGUGACUCUUGCCUGGGUGGCUGAGGCAGGCUGCCGCUGCCGUGACUCCACCAGGCUAGCCAGCCAGGACACAGAGCCAUAGGUCUUCAGAGAGUUACUCACACGGUGCUUCUGUGGAUCCUAUGGCUCUGCGCCUCCGAGACUGGAAGCUACCAGGAGGAUGAGGUUUCUGACUACAGAUUGCUGAUGGUAACUGGCUUUCCAUGGUUAACUUCUAAGCUACGAGAUGGAGCAGUAAAUUGAAGCUGACCUGAUGGGAAGUCUUUCCCCUAGGACAAGCUGAGCUUAAGAAAUGUCACCCAGCUUUGGUUAUCUUUUAUGACUAGAAGCGGAUGGGUAUUAUGGAUUUGCCUAAGCAUGGAAUU
rnacentral:lncRNA from 1 species